GCCUAGCUGGCUUAGUCAGGAGAGCAUGUGACUCUUAAACCCAGGGUUGUGAGUUCAAGCCCCACAUUGGGCA
rnacentral:tRNA from 1 species